CAGCAGCCGCGGGAACACAGAGGGUGCGAGCGUUAAUCGGAUUUACUGGGCGUAAAGCGUGCGUAGGCGGCUUUUUAAGUCGGAUGUGAAAUCCCUGAGCUUAACUUAGGAAUUGCAUUCGAUACUGGGAAGCUAGAGUAUGGGAGAGGAUGGUAGAAUUCCAGGUGUAGCGGUGAAAUGCGUAGAGAUCUGGAGGAAUACCGAUGGCGAAGGCAGCCAUCUGGCCUAAUACUGACGCUGAGGUACGAAAGCAUGGGGAGCAAACAGGAUUAGAUACCCGAGUAGUCCCUGUCUCUUAUAC
rnacentral:rRNA from 1 species